rnacentral:rRNA from 1 species
GGGGCUCGCAGUCGUUUGCUGCGCUUACUGCGCGGCGAAUGACCUUACACACAGGGUCUUUUUGAUACAGAACUCUUGCUUUGGUUUGGCCUAGAGAUAGGUUGGGCCAGAGGUUUAACAAAACACAAUUUAAUUAUUUUUACGGUUAGUCAAAUUUUGAAUUAAUCUUCAAAACUUUCAACAACGGAUCUCUUGGUUCUCGCAUCGAUGAAGAACGCAACGAAAUGCGAUAAGUAAUAUGAAUUGCGGAUUUUCGUGAAUCAUCGAAUCUUUGAACGCACAUUGCGCCCUCUGGUAUUCCAGAGGGCAUGCCUGUUUGAGCGUCAUUUCUCUCUCAUACCCCCGGGUUUGGUAUUGAGUGAUACUCUUAGUCCGACUAGGCGUUUGCUUGAAAAGUAUUGGCAUGGGUAGUACUAGAUAGUGCUGUCGACCUCUCAAUGUAUUAGGUUUAUCCAACUCGUUGAAUGGUGUGGCGGGAUAUUUCUGGUAUUGUUGGCCCGGCCUUACAACAACCAAACAAGUUUGACCUCAAAUCAGGUAGGAAUACCCGCUGAACUUAAGCAUAUCAUAGCCGGAAGGAA